rnacentral:rRNA from 1 species
ACGGAGGAUCCAAGCGUUAUCCGGAAUUACUGGGCGUAAAGAGUUGCGUAGGUGGCAUAGUAAGUAGGUAGUGAAAGCCUGGGGCUCAACCCUUUAAACAUUAUCUAAACUGCUAAGCUAGAGGGCGAGAGAGGUAACUAGAAUUCCUUGUGUAGGAGUGAAAUCCGUAGAUAUAAGGAGGAAUACCGAUGGCGUAGGCAGGUUACUGGCUCGUCCCUGACACUAAGGCACGAAAGCGUGGGGAGCAAACGGGA